rnacentral:snRNA from 11 species
AUACUUACCUGGACAGGGUCAAUGGGUGAUCAAGAAGCCUCGAGUUACAUGUCAUGAUUUGUGAUAGUGGGGGUCUGCAUCUGCGCAACCUCUAA